rnacentral:lncRNA from 1 species
GUGACAGCCAGGAAACCGAGAACGGAAUGCCAAUACUGCUUAGGCUUAGAGUUUGAAAGGCAUCUGAUUUCACUGCCAUGUCUUUGAACAGCAGUGCACAGUGCAGUCUUCUUCGUGGCUGAACAGGUAUCUUGUGAUCUUUAGGGAAUGUCUAUUAAUUCAUUAAACAAGUAUUUCUGUGUUUAUUGAAGGACGUCUUGUAUGCUAUACAUUUGCUAGGCACUGGGGAUACGCCCCUAACACAGCUAGACACGAUAGCUGCCCUCAUAGAAUUUUCAGUCUAACAAAGAAGAGGGAGAAAACCAACAAGUAAGCAAGCACAUAGAAUAGUAAUUAAUCAUGUCAAGGAAAGAAAUAGGCAUGGUGUGGACACUGGAGGAUAACUUCAGAUAAGAUUGUUAUAUGAGAACUUUAUAAGAUGGCAUUUAAACCAUCAGUCAUUCAGCCAUGGAACCAAUAAAAUGAUGAAUUGUUUUGGGCAGAGGGGACAGCAGACAAAGGUCUCUCGGUGAGACAGCCCGGCGUUUUGGAAGAACAGAAAGAAAGCCAAAGUGUCUCCAGCAUAUUGAGGGAGGGAAAGAACAGCAUGAUGUGAGAGAGAUGAGGCAGACAGGGGCUUGGAGUUGGCAUUACAUUUUAAAUUUAAUGGGCUUCUAUUGAGGCAUUCGAAAAAAAGAAGUGAAAGGGUCUGGGUUUAGACUUUACAUCACUUUGGUUAGUGUGCAAAGAACAGUUAAAAUAAGCUAUUGGGAAACUGAUUAGGAGAUGAUGACAGAUGAAAUUUAAGGUGGAAGAUGACUUUGAUUAAACUAUGACAAUAUCACUGAAGGGAGAGAAGAGCAGAGAGAUUAGAGAUUUUAAAGAUAAAUAAUUAACUUGAUUUGGCAUUUUAGUUAUUCUAGGCCAGGGACAACUGUUUUGAAUCCAGUGCAUUUAAUAACCAGGUUAGAGAGUGACUCUCAUAUUGACGGCUCACAAAUUAUAGUAAUAACCUUGAGUAAUAUUAUGUUGAGUUGAUGUCUUUUCAUAGACUUCCUGGAUUUUUUUUUCUUUUGUCUUUCUUUCUUUUUUUUUUUUUUUUUUUUUUUUUUUUGAGACAGGGUUUUACUCCUGCCCAGGCUGGAGUGCAGUGGCGCUAUCUGAGCUCACUGAAACCUCUGCUUCCCAGGCUCAAGUGAUCCUCCCACUUCAGCCUCCCAAGUAGCUGUGACUACAGGCACGCUCAACCAUACACAGCUAAUGUUUAUAUUUUUUGUAGAGAUGGGGCUUCCCCAUGUUGCCCAGGCUGGUCUUGAACUCCUGAACUCAAGCAAUCCACCCACCUCAGCCUCCCAAAGUGCUGGGAUUACAGGCAUGAGCCACUGUACCUGGCGUGGAAUUUAAAAAAAUAAUAAUUUUAUUGAAACAUGUGUCUUAAAAAGUGCACAUAUCCUAAGUGUAGACAGCUCAAUGAAUUUUCACAGUCUGCAGACACCUUUGUAUCCAGCACCCAGAUCAAGGAACAAAACAUUAUUAAUACCUGGGAACCCCAUCAACCUGCCUUCCAGGCACUGCCUUCUUCCAAGGGGAGUUUCUAUGCUGACUUUCAACAGCAUAGGUAGUUUUGCCUAUCUUUAUACUUGUUAUAUAUAAAGCCAUAAAGUAUGUGUUCUUUUGUUUCUGGCUACUUGGACUCAACAUUACACUUGUGAGAUUCUUCCAUAUUGUUGUAUGCAGUUGUAGAUCAUUCAUUUUGUUUUCCAUUCUGUGGAUAUACUGUAAUUUAUGAAUUCAUUCUUCUGAUGGACAUUAGGGCAGUUUGCCAUUUAGAGCCAUUAUAGAUAGUGCUACUAUGAGCAUUCUACUACAUAUCUGUUGGUGAUGGCUUUCAUUUGAUGGAGUAUUUUGGUAGCUAAGUUACUAUUAAGUUUUUAAAAAUCUGCUCAUCAAUAAUGUAGUAUCAUGUGUUGCAAUAUCUCAAUCAUUUGGAUCAAAAUUUGGUGCAGAUAAUGAGGACUUUGCUUUCACAAAUGUGAAAAAUUUUGGUAACAAGAAAGAUGUGGGAAAUUUUAAGCUUGGAAGUGUAAAAUAUUUUGAAUUGUCCUGGAGUUUUGACCUUUUUUAUAACCACUUGCAUGCCCAGCAUCUGAGAACAUCAUGACUUUGCUAAAUCCUUGUACCAAAACAGACUGGAAUCCAGAGUCACAUGAUAAGCAAAGCCACUUAGGCUGUUCUGAAGAAUAUCUUUGAUACUAAAACAGUCCUUGAAAUUGCCUUUGAAAAUCACACCAUUUCACACUCUACCACAGCUCAUUAAAAUUAAAGCCAGCAGUUUACUUCUUUUGAAUUAUAUGCUUCUGGGUUUUGAAUCUCUGAAGCAUAGCUAAAUACACCACAAAAAUAAUUCAUGGCCAGCACAGUGGUUCAUGCCUGUAAUCCCAGCACUUUGAGAGGCCAAGGCUGCCAAUCACUUGAGCUGGGAGUUCAAGACUAGCCUGAGCAACAUGUCAAAACCAUGGUCUCUACAAAAAAAUACAAAAAUGAGCCAGGCAUGGUGGCGCAUACCUGUGAUCCCAGCUACUCGGGAGGCUGAGGUGGGAGGAUCACCUGAGCCCAGGAGGUCCAGGCUGCAGUGAACCAUGAUCUCACCACUGUACUCUAGCCUAGGUGACAGCACUUUGGGAGGCCGAGGCGGGUGGAUCACAAGGUUAGGA